AUUAUGUUCUUGACCGAAACAAAAAGAAAAGAAAAAGAAAUAGAGAAAGCUAGGUUCGGCCAUCCUUUCAAGCUUGAUUCAAGAUCAAGAACCAAAGAAUUCGGAUUUGGAUCGGGGAAAAACGAAAGUCGUCGACUAGCUGCCCUGUUCUGUUUUACAUCGUCCGAGAGUCACGAAGACCUGCUCGGGUUGGAAUUCAUGGGAGAUCGUAUCAACUAUCCAGUUUUUGGUUU